rnacentral:tRNA from 1 species
GCGGGCGUGGCGGAACUGGCAGACGCGCUGGAUUUAGGUUCCAGUGGGGCAACCCGUGGAGGUUCGAGUCCUCUCGCCCGCA